UGCCUCGGUGGGGGCUAAACCCCCCGCCGAUGGCCCAUCAAACUCUGUUUUAUUUUGAAAUUCUGAAUCUUAAAGCAAAUAAGUUAAAACUUUCAACAACGGAUCUCUUGGUUCUGGCAUCGAUGAAGAACGCAGCGAAAUGCGAUAAGUAAUGUGAAUUGCAGAAUUCAGUGAAUCAUCGAAUCUUUGAACGCACAUUGCGCCCAUUAGUAUUCUAGUGGGCAUGCCUGUUCGAGCGUCAUUAAAACUCAUUAAGCCCUGUUGCUUAGCGUUGGGAGCCUGCCGGCCUGGCCCGCAGCUCCUCAAAACUAGUGGCGGAGUCAGUGUAUACUCUAGGCGUAGUAAUUUCAACUCGCUUCUGUGGUUUCGCUGGCGCCUGCCGUAAAACCCCCAACUUCCAAAGUUUGACCUCGGAUCAGGUAGGAAUACCCGCUGAACUUAAGCAUAUCAAUAAGCGGAGGAA
rnacentral:rRNA from 1 species